rnacentral:rRNA from 1 species
AUUGAACGCUGGCGGCAUGCCUUACACAUGCAAGUCGAACGGCAGCACGGGAACAAUCCUGGUGGCGAGUGGCGAACGGGUGAGUAAUAUAUCGGAACGUGCCCAGUCGUGGGGGAUAACGCAGCGAAAGCUGUGCUAAUACCGCAUACGAUCUACGGAUGAAAGCGGGGGAUCGCAAGACCUCGCGCGAUUGGAGCGGCCGAUAUCAGAUUAGCGAGUUGGUGAGGCACAGGCUCACCAAGGCGACGAUCUGUAGCUGGUCUGAGAGGACGACGACGCAGACUGGAAAUGGGACCCGGUCCAGACUCCUACGGGAGGCAGCAGGGGGGAAUUGUGGACAAUGGGGGCAAGCGUGAUCCAGCAGUGCCGCGAGCAGGAGGAAGGCCUUCGGGUUGUAAACUGCUGUUUUACGGAGCGAAACGGUCUUUCCUAAUACGAGAGGCUAAUGACGGUACCGUAAGAAUAAGCACCGGCUAACUACGUGCCAGCCGCCGCCGUAA